CUCUCCAGUGUCUGCCCUCCCAGUGCAUGAGACCGGGGCCACACCAAGCUGGCCUCUGACAGCCUGUCCUGGCAUGUCAGGAGAGGGUUUGUCACGCUGGGCUGCAGAUUGGAACUCAGCUGGCUGGAGGUGUCAGUGAACAAAAAAGGAAGACCAAAGCAGGCAGCCAGCUCCUUCAGGACACAGAGCUCACCCUGGUAAUGGCCACAUGAAGGAGGCUGCGAUGGAGGAGAGGAGCCGCUCAUUCACAAUGCUGCAAACAGGGCACCAAACACUGACAGAGGGACAAGGGUGAGGCCCUGGCACAGCUUAGAAACUGGCUGUUGGGUCAAACUGAACACUAAGCCUGCGAAUCACUGCAUCUGUGGGCCCAUAUGCAGAUACAGAGUUUCUCUGAAGUCGAUGGCUGGUAUGAAAGAAAAUGAAAUAAAUGGAAUUAUUCACUUGUGUAAAAGCCAUAUUCACCUGAAGAAGAGAAAUAGAGCUCUGUACUCAGAAGAGAAACAUCCUUUUGCCCCAUACGAUCACUCUUGACUCUUUUGAAAACAGGCUUCACAUUUUACUUUACCUCUUUGUCACCUUCAUUUCAUCCUUGAUCCUGAACUUUCCUCAGCUCCUAUUUUUCCUGUGUCUAUUAAUCUGCCUCAGACACUCUCUGCGACUGUCACCUUUGUUUAAAUUCUCACGUAUAUCACUCUCCUCUCACCUUGACUGCUGCUCUUCCUUUUUCUACAACAUCCCCAUACUCCAGCACAUGGCACUUGCAAAAUAAAUGACUUUUAGGAUAUUCAGGAAGCUCAACACAUCCUAUUCUCAAAUAAUUCCACAUAUCUCUGUAUCAAUUUCAAAUUGCCUGUCACCCUGCACAUCUAUUGCCCAGUUUAGGAUUUUCAUCCCCUUAUUGUGACCCAUUUCCUUCCCCAACUGAUACUUUUUUUUUAAUAGAAAGUCUCUAUUGUUUAGAAAAUUCAGUUCCAUCUGGAAAAGCAUUGCUUUUGCUCUCCCAUUGUUGCUCUCUCAUUGAGUUUUGGUGCCAAAUUCAUAUCUCCUGUUUAAAGUCAGUGGGGUUGUGUCCAUUUGCUCUUAUUUUGGCCCACAGAUAUCUCUUAAAAAGCAGAAGGAAAACCAUAUUUUAUUGUCUUUGUUUCCCUUUCUGCAAUUCUGGAUUUAUUUUGUAUAAAUCUAUUACAUAUAAUGGCUUACUCUAUCAAAUGCUGUAUAAAAGAUAUAUACAAAAUCAGAUUGCCCUGUAUUUCUGCUCCUGUAAA